GUCUCUACUUAUUUAUUUGAAUUUCCAUGAAAUUUCCCAGUUGGAUUAAUAAAGCAUCUCUCGAUUCAUCUAUGCACUCAUUAAGCAUUAAGCUUUUCAUUUAAUGAAUGCUCCCCGAAGAGAGAAAAACCUUAUAUAUAGAUAUUACUAAUGGGUAAAGACAAGAAACAGAGGGACAAGAGAGUUCACCACAUAGAGAUGGAUGAUAAAACAGCAAAGAUAAAAAAAAAACAUAAGUUUCACUUCAGCUCUUUAUAUUUUAUAACUUCUCUAUGUAAGUCUGAAGGAGAACAUGUUUUUGACACUGCCCCCUGGUAAUUGUACACAAAAUUUAGACAACAGCGUGCAAAGCUGUGUGCAUAGGCUCUAUGUUGAAGCCAAACACAACCAGGCCAACAGUUAAGAGCUCAGGGAUGUGCUAAAUGCUCUGUUUUGAGGGGUUUUUCCCCCCUACUCUUGGAUCACAUAUUUCAACACAUAUUUCAUCUGUAAAGAGGUUCAGUGCAGUUUCUUUUGAUUUUCAGGCAGCCUAAAAAGUAAUGCCCUUAUAACAACAGUUAGCUGCUAUCAAAAGUGCACUUUUCUUACUCCUUAAAACAUCCCAUGACCUGCAUCAAGGAAGAAGAAAUACGUUUAGUGAAAGGUUCAAUGAGCCAAGUUCCGACAAGAGUUGAUCUUUAGCUCCGUCAAUUCGCGGUACAGACUAAAGCUUUGUGAGCUUUCAAAGACACCUAAUGUCUGUUUUCAGAGUCUGUCUUCUCCUCCCCAAGAACAUUUCCUUAUCGCUCAUCUGUCAAGUCACAUUUCUCUGUCUUGAGCGAGACCAAGCCGUGGCAUGCUCCGUCCCUGACAGUUAAAGAAAAAUAAAAUAGAAGAAGAAAAAAAAACAUCAUCUAUAAGAAACAAAUCGGCCAUUUCCAAACUGCAUGCCACUGUUCAGACAGAUCAAACUUCUGAUAACUGCGACAAUAUUGCAGAGGAAAAGGGCAGUUACCCACUUUAGAUUCAACACCCUCUCCAUUUAGCAUGUUUUGACUCAGUUUGAUCCUCUGCUACAAUGAAGGACGGGUGGAUGAUUGCUAUAUCUUCUGCGUACUAAGGAAAACAACAUUGCUGAAGAAUGGUGCACUCAGGAGCCAGAAGAUUGGUAUGCUGAAGAUCAUGGGAGCGUGUAAAAGUCUGGCGUACCGCCAUCGAGUCCCCUUCUGUACAGCACAUACCGGUGCACAUCAACAGCAAAGACAUACAGUAAAGUUACAGGUGAGGAGUCAUACUUAAGAAAGUUUCUGUGCUGAAGAGGCAUUCAGCAGAAGCAGGGAAACAUCUGCCCCGAGGGUGAUGUCAGACAGGCUGGUAUCACCUGCCACCUGGAGAAAAAGCCUCAGGAGAUUUUUAUUGCUGAUUAGCUGGGGGAGAGUGCAGACCAUUCAAAAGACUUCCCUUGUUUGUUUUUAUUUUUUUUUUAACCAUAUCUAUGAGGAAUCUGUGCCUGACAGGACCAUGAGGGUGCAAAGCCUGUUUUGUACAUGCUUUGAGUUCAAUACUGCAAACCAGAGUGGCAAAUCCACAUAUAAUUUUCUCAUGAUUUGAAGAACCGCUCUGCGGCGUGAACAGAUUUCUUUAAAAAUAGACAUUACGCAGGUGCAAUAUCACAGGAUAAAAAUCUGCCCUCCCAACCUGCAAAUCCACAGAGAUGGAAGUCAGCUGACAGGAUUAAUGUGAUUAAUAAAAGCGUCGGUGAAAAGUGCUCCCUGGGAAUGAAAAGUUGCCUUUUUGUCUGCAGGCAGCUCAAGGGACUCACAACAUAUCCUUCUUAGAUCUGUUGGCAACUUUAGUUGUAGACUGAUGAGCCAUAUCACACUGAUUAUAGAGAUGUCUGAAAGUCACGCAACGCUGCAGCAUUAGAUACAAGGGGAUAACCUGCCUG
ensembl:lncRNA